GGUUUCUUGGUGUAGUUGGUUAUCACGUCUGUCUAACACACAGACGGUCGCCAGUUCAAGUCUGGCAGAAAUCA
rfam:Phycomyces blakesleeanus NRRL 1555(-) unplaced genomic scaffold PHYBLscaffold_17, whole genome shotgun sequence.